UGACUGUAAGCCAAAUAGUCGUUUUGUCCUCUUGGAGUUGUGUAGAAAACCUGUUGCUCCUUUGCAGUUUCACUGGAGGAAGAAAAUCCAUUGGGUGGGGAAGCUGUGCGUCAGUCUGCAAGACUUCUGCCCCAGCCGUGCAGGUGGAGCAAGGAAAGAGUCCCGCUUCUGCUGACCUCCUUUGCAGCAGCUUGCUCUCAUCCUCCUGCGUAACCCGGGAUUGGACUCGCUCAGUAUCCUGGGAGGGAGCUUGUCAAGAAGGACUCAGUGUGCUGGGCAGCCAAGUGCAGCCACGUGGCCUGGUAUUUUCAGGGCAGAUCACGGCACGCCUGUAACGAAUCCUGAGUUGAUGGCAGCGGUCGCGCCGGUAGAGUUUGGGGCUCUCCUCACAAGAGCUGUGUGCGUAAUGCCUCUGUCAUUUCUGAGGGAGGAAGGCCGGCUGAUGGAAUCCUUUGGACUGCGUGCCUCUGGCACUGAUGGUGAGCGGAUGUCAGCGGUUCAUGGGAUGCGAACAGCCUGCGUGCUGGGCGUCUGCACAGGCACUGAUAGGAGAAGCUGUGGGGCAGGGGUGUCAGCUAGAAAAUGGUAGUCACGUCUGCUGAUCUUACGUGCCAGAGCUAUUCCUGCGUCUGGACAUCCUACCCCUUUUGUCAUCAGCAACUUCCCUUUUGUACAUUCACGGUGAUUUAAUAACAGUUUGUGUUUCACCACACAGCGCUCUGCAUGAACGCUUGCAGCCUCCCUGCAAAGCUGUCGUACGUUGAAGCUUUUGCAUGUGAGUGUCUCUCUGUGUCUUUUCCGUUUCUUCUGCUUCUCUGCAGUUGGUUCUCUUGUGGAAACAAGGAACAGAGUCUGUUUUCAGCUCUGCAGAGCAGAAGAGCAGCUCUCAGGCUUUGUAAAAACUGGCACCACUGGGAGAACUUGACUGCUUGAACCUUCUGCUUGACUGUAUGUGGAAGGCAAGUGCUUGUUACUUUUCCCUGUCCUCAGUUUGAGGUGGUGGCUUGGCUUUUUUCCUUCUCCAAAAGUCAGUAACGUAGCUGAAGAAAGUACAAGCUUUUCUGCACAAAUUCGCCCUUGAUCUUUAGUAGCGAACUGAGAACAACAAAUUUGUUUAACGUAAAGUGCUCUGCCUAAAACUUUCUCAAAUCCAAACAGGACUUAUGGUAAUGUGGGAGCAACUUAACUUCAGCACCGUGUGCCAACCAUGGAAAUGAAGAUGCACUGGGAUAGGGCUGCGUGCUGUGGAGAAGGCUGCGCUGCUGUCAGUCGAGCCCAGAGUCUGCGUUGCUCUUGGUGCACGUUGGCGUCAAGCCUGUGUAGAAUAUCGCUGUCCUCGGCUGGAAGGACUGACAGUCCUGGAAUCACAUCUCGUGGCACAAAAGGUACCCCAGGCCUCCAGGUGCUCUGCUGCCAUGGCACGGCGGCCUCUCAUUGUCCCUAGAGGCUGGUUUGUGCCUGGUGCACGGUGCACUCAGACUCACGCGAGCCUUCCGUCAAGGGGGCAGUUGUUACUCUGGGAGCAGUUCCAGCCUGGGCUUCUGCUGGAGCCCCGUGGCGUUGCUUU